rnacentral:rRNA from 1 species
UACGGAGGAUCCAAGCGUUAUCCGGAAUCAUUGGGUUUAAAGGGUCCGUAGGCGGUUUAAUAAGUCAGUGGUGAAAGCCCAUCGCUCAACGGUGGAACGGCCAUUGAUACUGUUAAACUUGAAUUAUUAGGAAGUAACUAGAAUAUGUAGUGUAGCGGUGAAAUGCUUAGAGAUUACAUGGAAUACCAAUUGCGAAGGCAGGUUACUACUAAUGGAUUGACGCUGAUGGACGAAAGCGUGGGUAGCGAACAGGAUUAGA